rnacentral:piRNA from 1 species
UAUUGUCUGAAAUUCUCAAAGAAAAUAUUU